GCCCGGAUGGCGGAACUGGUAGACGCGACAGACUCAAAAUCUGUUAUCCGCAAGGGUGUGUGGGUUCGAUUCCCUCUCCGGGCACCA
rnacentral:tRNA from 1 species